rnacentral:rRNA from 1 species
AGAGUUUGAUCAUGGCUCAGAACGAACGCUGGCGGCAGGCUUAACACAUGCAAGUCGAACGCAUCCUUCGGGGUGAGUGGCAGACGGGUGAGUAACGCGUGGGAACGUGCCCUUCAGUUCGGAAUAACCCAGGGAAACUUGGGCUAAUACCGGAUACGUGCGAGAGCAGAAAGAUUUAUCGCUGAAGGAUCGGCCCGCGUCUGAUUAGCUAGUUGGUGAGGUAAUGGCUCACCAAGGCGACGAUCAGUAGCUGGUCUGAGAGGAUGAUCAGCCACAUUGGGACUGAGACACGGCCCAAACUCCUACGGGAGGCAGCAGUGGGGAAUAUUGGACAAUGGGCGCAAGCCUGAUCCAGCCAUGCCGCGUGAGUGAUGAAGGCCUUAGGGUUGUAAAGCUCUUUCGUCCGGGACGAUAAUGACGGUACCGGGAAGAAGAAGCCCCGGCUAACUUCGUGCCAGCAGCCGCGGUAAUACGAAGGGGGCUAGCGUUGUUCGGAAUCACUGGGCGUAAAGGGCGCGUAGGCGGCUUGAUAAGUCGGGGGUGAAAGCCUGUGGCUCAACCACAGAAUUGCCUUCGAUACUGUCUGGCUUGAGACCGGAAGAGGUAAGUGGAACUGCGAGUGUAGAGGUGAAAUUCGUAGAUAUUCGCAAGAACACCAGUGGCGAAGGCGGCUUAUUGGUCCGGUUCUGACGCUGAGGCGCGAAAGCGUGGGGAGCAAACAGGAUUAGAUACCCUAGUAGUCC